rnacentral:rRNA from 1 species
AUGGUAAAAAGACCCAUCUUUUUCACCCCGCAGAAUUCACCCCGAUUUCAAGCCCUGUCGGCGGUCGCCAUGGCGGAACCGCCGCCGCCCCUGCCGCAUCUUCUCCUACCCACCGAAGAUCCUCCUCUCCUGGCUGUCUUUCCUGCCGCCGCCGGACAUGUAGCCGCCGCCCCUCCCUCAUCUUCUCCCGUUGCGGCCGGUCGUGAAGAUGCAGCUCCCGCCGCCGGCGGCCGUGCAGUCGCCGAUCCCGUCGCCUCCGGCCGUGAAGCUGCAGAUCCCGUCGCCGCCGGCCCUGUAGAUGUUGUUCCUCCCGUCGCCGGCGCAACAGCUUCUGCUCCUCCCGUCGCCGGCCCUGCAGCUGCUGCUCCCGCCUCCACCGCCCCUGUAGUUGCUGCUCCCGUCGCCCCCCCGCACUGUAGUUGUGGAUCCGGCUGCCACCGCGCUGCACCGGCUACUGGACCUCGAGCUCCAGCCGGUGGACCUCCAUCCAACGCCCCUACAGCUGCAGGACCUCGAGCUCCAGUUGCCUCCCUCAUAGGCACUGGACCCCCAGCUCCAGGCGCCUCCCUCACUGCCGGUGAGGAUGUGGCUUCUUCGACAUCUCCUCAAUCCCCACCACGAAUUCCUGCAGUAAGAGAUGCACAAGAGUGGUGA